ACGGGCUGCGCUCACCAUGGCCUGGACCCCUGUGCUCCUCGUGCUCCUCGCUCACUGCACAGGGUCCCUCUCCCAGCUUGUGCUGACUCAGCCGCCCUCCCUCUCUGCAUCUCUGGGAGCCACAGCCAGACUCACCUGCACCCUGAGCAGUGGCUUCAAUGUUGGCGGCUAUGGCAUAAGCUGGAUCCAGCAGAAGCCCGGGAGCCCUCCCCGGUACCUGCUGUACUACCACACAGACUCCCAUAAGGACCAGGGCUCCGGGGUCCCCAGCCGCUUCUCUGGAUCCAAAGACGCCUCGGCCAAUGCGGGGCUCCUGACCAUCUCGGGGCUACAGCCUGAGGACGAGGCUGACUAUUACUGCGUUACAGAUCAUGCCAGUGGGAGCAGCUUUCGUUACACACAGUGUCUCAGAUGA